rnacentral:lncRNA from 1 species
AACAAUUGCCAGAGAAAUACCCACCUUUACACAGGAUGAGCUUGCUGCAUGGGUCAGAAGGGCUAAGUAUGCAGGCCUUUCUCUUCCUCUGUUUGCUGCAAAGAGAGCUGGUAGCCACUAGAGGGGAGGAGACUGCCGGCUUUCCUGAGUGCUUCACGCUACAGCUUGAAGGUGCAGAAGCUGUCACAAGACUGGUUGCCCAACGAAAUGGUUUUUAAAAUUUUAUGAAGAAAGCGUGUAAGUGAAAAUACAAAGCACCUUCUAAGAAACUCAGCUAAACAAAUGCCCUUCAGCUAGGAAUAGGAAAGUAUGUUAUUAUUACACAAUUUU